UCACACCAUAACAAAAAAUGGCCCAUGUUUUUAAGUUUUACCCAGCCUAGCCCAUAUUGUACAUAUUUUAAAAGUACUAGCAAAUUCAAAAUUUGUGCUCUUAUAACCACUGCUUUUAAAAGCUAUGGAGUUAAAUAUGUGUUCCCACAACCAUUGCUUUCACUCUCUCUUCUUUUCACAUCUUCUACAUAUGCUUCACGGGGCCGUCUGCCAUUGGUGCUUCUUAGCCUAUGUCACCUAGUUGCAAUGUAAGAAAAUUAAAAAGUAAAAAUCCACAUUGAAGGCCAUUCAUAGCUUUACUUUCGAAAAUAGGAUUUUUUAGUCUAUUAGUUGUUUGGAUUGGGUGUUGUUCCAGUUGAUUGAAAAUAUCAAAAGGAGUUCAAAAUUUAAAUUUGAAGUGAUUUGGAGUAGAUUUGAAAAUAUAAUAUAGUGUAUAUGAGUGUAUGAACACAUCUUAUACACUAUUAUACACUUUUAUACACCUUUAUACAAGCGUCUGUAGAUAAACUUCUUCCGCGAUUUUCAGUUGCAAUUCUUGUUCAAAACCAAUCCAAAUCUUCAUUAAAUGUCUUCAAAUUUUAUAUACAACCUCCUUAUACUAUUUCUAACAAGUUUAAAUAACACCCACUCCAAAUUUCGCAUAAAAUCAAAUUCGAAAUUUAAACCCACAUGUUUAAGCUUUUUAGAAAUUUAAUUUUCACCAUUCAAAUAGAUUUGGUUUGUUAAACUAAUAUUUGAGUCACAAUUACUGAUUCGAAAAUUAACUUAAAAGCUUGAGAAAUCUUUUUUAAAAAUUAAAUAGUAAUUUCUAGAACCUAUUGGAGUUGGAUGUUGAAUCUUAGCCUAUUAUUUUUGGGCUAGUUGAUUGUAAAUUAAAAUAUGGGCUAUAAAAUUGGAAAGCAGGGAGCUCAGUUGUUUUUAUGUGAAAUUUUGCCUCUUUUAAUUGGGUACACCUGUCCUAGACGGACUCAACCCCUAUGUUGAGCCCCCAAAGUCAAAUGCAUGUGAUGCAAACAAAGCGUUCCUACUAGGGAUCCGGCAUGAGGCUAUGUUAUUCUAGGUUUAAAACCUGGAUGUAUUAUUCUAGACCUGACUUACCUGAACAAACAACUCGAGCCGAGGGGGAGCUGCGUACCGGGAAUAUAGAAGCUUUACAGGCUUUGCAACUUGUCCGAACCUCGUUCUAAAUUUAGGAUAUGACUCUAACAGAAAAGAAGUCACACGAAGUGCACACUUCCCAGAUGAUUUAGAGACUCAGAGAGAAGAGGGUUUCGCAAUAAUUUAUAUACAGUUCAAGCAAUAUCAAAGCGGUAAAAAGCGGCAUUUAGUACAUUAGGCUCAAACACAUAAAAAUCAGAUAAUAAAUGAAAGCCAACUAUAACAGUUAUUCUAAGAUCGAAUUCUGAACCCUGAACCAGAAGUUCUGGGUUCUUAUCCCCAGUGGAGUCGCCAGAGCUGUCACACCUCCUUUUUACCACCCGAAGGGGAUAUAAAGGAGUUUUUCUAAUUAAAGUGACAAUAUUCGAAAUGAGACUAUUUAUAUCAAAUUAAGAGUCGCCACUUGGAAUAAUUUAAGGUGUUCCAAGUCACCGGUUUAUUUAAAAUCCCAAAUCGAGGAAAUUGAGUCUUUUUUAUGGUGUGCAAACACAGAAGACCGGGUAAGGAAUUCUAUUAACCCGGGAGAAGGUGUUAGGCAUUCCCGAGUUCCGUGGUUUUAGCACGGUCGCUCAACUAUUAUUAAUUGGCCUAAUUACCUGAUUUAUUACAUGUUUUAAACCUAUUGUGCAGUUUUAACUUUAUAACUGCUUUUAUUUAUCUAACCGCUUUUUAGGAUUUAUCGAAAUUACAAGUCACGAUGUCAUACACUUGUUUGUUUUUGAACACAUUGCGAAUCACAUCACAUGAAAUACACCCGCGAUUUACAACAUAUUUAUUUUAAUAUUGUUCGAAGUUGUGGUCGGGUCACAUGAAAUACACACCCAAAAUUAGAUUUAUGUAUCAUGACCAUGCCACGGGAACCGUACCCAUGGUCACAAUAAUUUAUUAAUCGCGCCUAAAGCAAGCUACGAAAAGCAAUUACUGCAACUAAAGAAGAAUCAUGUCAAACUUGAUAUAAGUGAACAAUUACUCCAAAUCCAAACCUGGAUAAAGUAAAAUCAUCGUAAGUCAAAGUCAUGGUUAACUUGUCAUUUUUUAUUAAACAAUAUGCAAACAUUCUUCUAAAAAAAAGUAUUAUGACUACAAAAACUAACUAUAAACUUCACCCAAAGUCAAAGAGCACAUGGCAUUUUGUAGUGUAUUUAAUAUAUGUCCAAAGUCAAUUAGUUUCUUAAUGCACACUUAGCAUUGUAUCUUAUGAUAUCAAAGAUCAACUAACAAAAAAUGCGUCCGUGCAAUUCAAAAUUAAAAAGGAAAUUACCAAUCAAUCAACAAAUCAAACCAGAACUCACCUCACAAAAAAUGAACUGAAAACCCAAAGUAAGGGCAGAUUCAAAUAGAACCGACUUUGAUUUUGGAACUCUGUUUGUAUGUACUUUAUAUAGAUGAAUUUGAUCUAAAAUUACAUCAACUUGAAGAUUAUGGAACUUUCAACCAUAAAAUUUGCCCUUGACCACGGAGGGGACCUCGCCAGCAACCUCGAAACUCGGCUGACCUUGGGAUUUUUUUUUGCUAUUUGACAGCUGAUUUUUGCCGCUUUCUUGGCUUGUUUGCUGAUUUUCAGCUUUUCACGCUAGAAAAUAGGCUGGAACUAGGUGGCUUCUUCAGCUACAUUUAAGGCUAAGUUUUGGCGGUUUGUUUUGGAUGGUUUUUCUUUUUUAGCUAGGUUCGAGAGGUUGCUUUGGCAUCAUUUUUGAUUGGAAACGAGGCUAUUUUUUAUCGCAUUUUUUGGGGUGGAGAUGAAGGUCCUUGGGGGGGGGGGGCAGGUAUGGCUUGCAGAAUAGUUGUAUUAGGUGUUGGAGUUCAGGUGGUGUUUCAGUGGUUAGAUCCGGUGGAGAUAGGUGAUUUAAUUGGUAAUCAUGGAGAGAAAUUGAUCGCAUCAAAUCUGAUCUUCUCAAAAAGAAGGGGAAUUGCGGCACCUUUUCUUUUUGUUGAGCUCCUGCCGAUUUUGGUCUCUAGGUCUAGGAAUUGAAAAGGUUAGGGUACGGUUUCUAUAAUUGGGUAUUUUUUAUGGAGGUGGGAAGGGAUGAUGGCCAUUGG
rnacentral:lncRNA from 1 species